UACGUAGGUGGCAAGCGUUGUCCGGAUUUAUUGGGUUUAAAGGGUGCGUAGGCGGCCCUGUAAGUCAGUGCUGAAAUAUCCCGGCUUAACCGGGAGGGUGGCAUUGAUACUGCGGGGCUAGAGUACAGAUGAGGUAGGCGGAAUUGACGGUGUAGCGGUGAAAAUGCUUAGAUAUCGUCAAGAACACCUAUAGCGAAGGCAGCUUACUAGGCUGUAACUGACGCUGAGGCACGAAAAGUGUGGGGGAUCAA
rnacentral:rRNA from 1 species